UGGCGAACGGGUGAGUAACACGUGGGCAAUCUGCCCUUCACUCUGGGACAAGCCCUGGAAACGGGGUCUAAUACCGGAUACGAGCCUCCAAGGCAUCUUGGAGGUUGGAAAGCUCCGGCGGUGAAGGAUGAGCCCGCGGCCUAUCAGCUUGUUGGUGAGGUAACGGCUCACCAAGGCGACGACGGGUAGCCGGCCUGAGAGGGCGACCGGCCACACUGGGACUGAGACACGGCCCAGACUCCUACGGGAGGCAGCAGUGGGGAAUAUUGCACAAUGGGCGAAAGCCUGAUGCAGCGACGCCGCGUGAGGGAUGACGGCCUUCGGGUUGUAAACCUCUUUCAGCAGGGAAGAAGCGAGAGUGACGGUACCUGCAGAAGAAGCGCCGGCUAACUACGUGCCAGCAGCCGCGGUAAUACGUAGGGCGCAAGCGUUGUCCGGAAUUAUUGGGCGUAAAGAGCUCGUAGGCGGCUUGUCACGUCGGUUGUGAAAGCCCGGGGCUUAACCCCGGGUCUGCAGUCGAUACGGGCAGGCUAGAGUUCGGUAGGGGAGAUCGGAAUUCCUGGUGUAGCGGUGAAAUGCGCAGAUAUCAGGAGGAACACCGGUGGCGAAGGCGGAUCUCUGGGCCGAUACUGACGCUGAGGAGCGAAAGCGUGGGGAGCGAACAGGAUUAGAUACCCUGGUAGUCCACGCCGUAAACGGUGGGCACUAGGUGUGGGCAACAUUCCACGUUGUCCGUGCCG
rnacentral:rRNA from 1 species